GUCUGCCAGAAGAAGAGAGAGAGAGAGAGAGAAACUGCGAGAUUGUUGUUUAAGUGGAUGUCCACAAGAGACGACGACGUCUGCAAACACCGUGUUCUUACUUGCUAAAUUAUUGUUGGCAGAAGACAGAAAAAAAGGGAAGCUGUCGCCAUGAAUAUUGAACUCUGGAUCGGUGUCUUCCCAUGGUUGUGCAUUUUAGCUUCGUCAACGUCAAGCGUUGUAAACAACACGGACAACGAGCUUGGUCCCCUUCGGAACGUUUGUGUUUCGACAAUAUCACACACUGUUACAUAUUUGGAGCGUGUAUAUCACACCAGAAUUGUCCACACACGAAAAUGUAAAUUGAUUGUGUUUUGUAAAACCGU
rnacentral:lncRNA from 1 species